GAACCAGUGCACAGGGACCUCUCUGUCUUACAUGUAUCUGCAAGGGGGGGGGAGGGAGUGCUUACAGUUUCACUGUAAUUUCUCUGGGACUUUACCCCGAAUGUGGGGAAAAUUCUGAUGUAAUUAAACCACAAAACUCCUGCCACAGCAAGACAAUGUAUUUCAUCUCAGUAGAAGAUAAAUCGAGCAGCCGCCGGACCCACCCACGGUGCCUAGCAUGGAGACAGACAAGCCGACUGACCACCGCACCUGCUUUCGUACCCAGCCUCGAGAAAACCAGGAAAACAAGUUACUAUGGCUCGACGGCAGCGUGCUGAAAUAGCUGUGCCAUGACCACCUCCUUUGAACUGCAUGGAGCUGCCCACACACGGCCUCACGUCCAGGGCUCUUGCAGGCAGCUGCGUGGGGUGCUUUAGUGUGGCCUGCUGCGGAGGAGCCGAGUCUGGUGUCAGUUUUCAGAUUAUCACGCUAUGGUCUCCCUGCUGGUCUCUCCUCUCCUGCUGCCCAGGAUUGUGUGACUCAGGAGAGACCCCGAAGCCAGUGUCAGGAAGCCCACCAUGGUCCUGGGGCUGUCAGUGGAACGCUCAUGCAGAGAGAAACAGCGUACAUCGCAGGCGUCUUACGUGCAAAGCCACGUCGGAAGUAAACAUUCUCUUUCAUUCCUCAUUGAAAAAGACCUGCAGCCACAUCACUACCUUCUGAAUAGACCGCCAAGUUCAAGGGACCUUUCACAGAUUUGGACCAACAGCCGAGAACACAGAAAGUGUGUGACUACUCUCAAAAUACCACCUUUGACAGGUGUCAAAGAACGCACGGUUCCUAUAACGUGACCUGGAGUUGUAAUUAAGCUUCCUAUGUCUACAGCCUAGCUUCCUCUGUUUAAUUUGAAUCCUCUUAGGUAAACGGCAUUAGCAGUGCUAACUCUUUUUCCAUAUGACGACAUUGAAAGUAUUUGGUGAUAGAUACGAGUUACCACCUAGGACUUCAACUGCUGCUUUGUAACAUUUUGACUAAAUGCUAUAGUUUGCAGAGUACUUUCAAGUGCUUUUUU